rnacentral:rRNA from 1 species
UACAGAGGGUGCGAGCGUUAAUCGGAAUUACUGGGCGGUAAAGCGCGCGUAGGCGGCUUUGCAAGUCGGGUGUGAAAUCCCCAGGCUUAACCUGGGAAUGGCAAUGGAGACUGCAAGGCUAGAGUUUGGCAGAGGGGGGUAGAAUUCACGUGGUAGCGGUGGAAUGCGUAGAGAUCGGGAAGAACAUCGGUGGCGAAGGCGGUCUGCUGGGCCGUUGCUGGACGCUGAGGCGCGACAGCGUGGGGAGCA